rnacentral:lncRNA from 1 species
CGAGGAAGCAAGCAGGCUGGUUUUGCAGCACAUCCAAUCUAUAGGUACCAAUCUAUAGGUUCCAAUCGUCAGUAGCAGUUCUCCUUGUGCUGCGGUGCUCUCACAGCUCUGUGUGGUAUCACUGCAUCACAGGACAGCAGCUGACAGCCCUCUAGCAAAAAAGGUGACAUUCUUGUCCUGGAUCUUGUACUGGUAGAUCUGGAUGACGUCCUGCUCUGUUGACUCCAAGGACAGUCUCUUAAUUAUUUUAAUCUCCCCAUGAACAUCCUUGCAGAAGCCAGUUGCCAGCCCCUGCACCCACAGGAUCAGGUUGCUGUGAUGACACAGGGAGGUCACCACCAGCUUGUUCUCCUCAUCUUCUGAAUCCUCGCUGCCAUGAACCAGCACCACAAUGUUCCCCUUGAGCUGAGAGCACACCACCAUUCUGCAGUAGUGGAUGAAGUCCAGCACGUCCACUGGCGCAGCACCCAGGCUGAGCAGCACGCUGAGAUCAUCCACCAGCAGCACCCGGC